GUAAUACUUGCCGUUUUCAAGCUCAGAGGGAUCGCCAAGUAAAUGGUAAUCCAUAUCGUAAAGCCUGUGAAGAAAUCACUAAUUAGAAAGCAAAGAAUAGCGCGAACAAUCCAGCCAUCGUGUACUCACUUCCGCACUGCUUUACCGGUUCGAAGACAAAUCUUUUCUGUGAUCUCACUGAGUACAAGGUCCCAGGAUUUCAUCGCUCGUGGAAUCAGGAGGAGACGAAUAGCAGGAGCGUUUAUGUCCCCGUUUCCAUAAACA